CAAUAGCGUAUAUUAAAGUUGUUGCAGUUAAAAAGCUCGUAGUUGGAUUUCUGGUGGGAGCGAUCGGUCUGGCGCUUAGCGCGAGUACUUGCAUCGUCUCCGGCCAUCCUUGGGGAGAGUCUGUCUGGCAUUAGGUUGUCGGGCAGAGGAUCCUCAUCGUUUACUGUGAAAAAAUUAGAGUGUUCAAAGCAGGCUUAUGCCGUUGAAUAUAUUAGCAUGGAAUAAUAAGAUAGGACUUUGGUACUAUUUUGUUGGUUUGCGCACCAAAGUAAUGAUUAAUAGGGACAGUUGGGGGUAUUCGUAUUCCGUUGUCAGGGGUGAAAUUCUUGGAUUUACGGAAGACGAACUACUGCGAAAGCAUUUACCAAGGAUGUUUUCAUUAA
rnacentral:rRNA from 1 species